GCCUAGCUGGCUCAGUCAAUAAAGCAUGUGACUCUUGAUCUCAGGGUCAUGAGUUCGAGCCCCAUGUUGGACA
rnacentral:tRNA from 1 species